GUUGUGCUUGUUAAAGAUUCAAGACAUGACAAAAUCCUUUAUUUUCCAAAGGAGGGAAGAAAAUGGGCUGUUUUUUGUCUCCAUGGUUCUGCCACCCUUCACCACUGGCAGCAGCUGGCCCAGCCUCACCUUGGGGGCAUCCUGGACCCCCGGCCCGGUGUGGUCACCAAGGGCUUCCGGACACUGGAUGUUGACCUGGAUGAAGUGUACUGCCUUAACGACUUUGAAGAAGAUGACACAGGUGACCACAUUUCUCUCCCGGGCCUAGCUACCUCCACGCCAGUUCAGCACCCAGAGACCUCAGGUGAGAGGUCCCGAGCACACGUGACUGUCUCAGGCAGCAGAAGUUACCCGAGCCGGCCUCAGGCUUCCCCAGAGGAGAUGCAGGAGAUGCCAGCAGCCACGGAGGAGGAGGAGGAGGAGGAGGAGGAGGGGUCUGGUGAGGGCACCACAAUAAGUCCUGUAAACCUGGCACCUUUACCAGAGGCAGAGUUCUGGGCCAUUCUCACUUCUGUUCCGGGCAUCAUCUGUAGUGGCUCUUUGUCUGUAGCUUCCGCUCGUCUGUGUGGGUGACAAUUAAAGCAUUCCCAUUGUGCCAUUCUGUUUUUUAAUACAGAGUCUCAUGCCUCCUUUUUGUAACAAAUGGGCGUAGCCCCUGCCCAUCUUGGAGGUGCAGGGAUUUUUAAAUGGGAGCAGGAGAGGCUGCUAAAAAGAAGUGGGUUAUCGGCCUUACAAGAACGUCAGGACCCUUCUUCCUGUUAUCGGUGUCGCCCCAUGUCUGAGGGGCAGAUUCUAGAGUGAUUUCCCGACUGAACGGGGCUGACCUGGGCAGUGCUAGGGGAAUUGUGAGUUCUGGGUCAUUCUGAAAGCAAAUGACAGAAUCUGUUACCUGCGGGUUGCACUGAGAGAGAGAGAAGCCCAGAAAACGUUCAGGAUCCAGACAACACUUGAUAGACCAGCCUUUUGACUUUAAUUACUUCAAUGAAGGCAUAUAUGUCACUUUCUUUCUAGCUUACACAUAUUCAAAGUGGAAUUUUUCAAAGUCAUUAACCAAAUAAACCCUAACAGAAUGUCAUUAAAUUCUUCCAGAGGACUCUAGAUGAAUCUAGAAAAGACAUUGAGCUGAUCUUGCCUCCCCACUCCCCUACCCUAGUCUCUGAAGGUGAGCCUGAGUUUGUAGAAUGACCCAUCUCAGUUGCCCCUAGAAUGGGAAGCUUUCUACUCAGGGCCCUGGGAGCAUGGGUCUGUGGUCACCAUAUGCCCCAGAUAGUUACCCUUUACUCUUCCUGGAUCUCCCAGAUCCACAUGCUGCAAAGCUCUGUGUGAUAAGGGGACAGACACUGAAAAAGUCCUGUCAUCCUUGUUACAUUUCUGAGUCACCACCUUUGAAGGAAGGACAUUCAUCUUUGUGAUUCACAAUUUUCAUCUGCAGAGACUCCAGCAUUCCCCACAAAAACACAAGGCAGGAAGGAACCAAGGUUCUUGGUGGUGUCUCCCAUCCCUUGGCUAAUUUCUGAUAGCUGUGGUCAAGAGACUUGAUUUGGGCCUGAUUUUUCUUUUUCCUUUGUUGUCAACUUCCAAGGAGUCAUAGGUAAAGUUGACAAUUGUUUAACAUUUAGAUUUAUUUAUGGUUUGAUUUUUUUAAAGCAAUUAAGUAACCAGAUUAAGUUUGUGCAAAAAUGAAGAUGCUUAUCUAUGUAGUAUCUACACAGUCAACAAAGGGCAACUGGCCGUGUUAGCCAUCCUACCCCUGUCCUAGUGGCCAUCUGGCAGGCAGGUGUCCUUGAAGAACAGUAUCUGAGUGACUUGUACUGAAAGGGUAGACAGUGCCUUCCCCACAGCUUUACAGGUAGAAGGUGAAUCCAGGAAGUUCAAGGACUACCACUGGGUGCAUCUUUGAGAAGUUGAACAGAAGCUAUCAUGUUGACAAACAACUUCUCUUGGAGGACCAAGGGAGAGAGGGAAGUGAUGAUGAGACUAAAGUCCCAACCAUAAGCACUGGUUUACAUAAAAAGGAAGGGAGCAGCUCCUGGUGGAAAGGAGCCAGGAAACUAAUCAUGAGGACUAAAAAGUCACCAUAAGCAGUGACCGUUCUUCCUAGGCCCUCCUUACUGAAACCUGCAGCAAAUCCACCCCAGCAACGUUAUUUGAGGUGAGGCAUGCACAGUUAUAGUUGAAACUGUAGAAGGGUCAGGCUCAAGAUAUGUGAAUUCAAAAAGGAAUUAUCUAGGUUGUUAAAAGUAAUUUAGGGAUGGUCUCAUUGUUUGAAUGACCUAGAGUUCUUUUGAACUUGUUUUCCUGAUAAGACCCAUCUCUAAAAGCUCAUCAGAGCGGGAAGGAUGUACUCUGACUUGGCUCUUUUUUUCUCUGUUGGGAAUGACAGAGCCAUUUUGAUGUUUGGAAUGUGGAAAGCAUUUUACUCUGUACAUAAAUCAUCCUCGAGGCUCCAGGUGGCUCUCUGUAUACAACCAGUGAGUCACAGGCAGACAGAUGAGCCUCGGUGGGAAGACUUGGGGCAUCCUCUGAAUUUGGGGAUUUGUAUCCAGCUGGUCUGGUCUGUGCUUUGGUCCAUCAUCCACACUUAGCCACAGUCCUGGGAUUCGCCAUUCUGUCCAGGAAGAUUUCAUAGGGAGAAAUUCUGAAAACAAGUUGAUUAACCUUUUUUCUUAACAACUGGUGUGAUGGGCAAACUGGGAAGACUUGUAUUUUAGGCACUUUUGUCUAGAGCCUGCUGUCCCAUGUCAGGGGUGGGGGGAGUUUUGAGCACUGAAAAAAUUUUAUUAAUAUAUUUUAAUGUGUUCUUUGAAGUAUCACUUGGUGAUUUUUUAAAAUCCAAUGUCUUUAAAAGGAUCCAUGUUAUUGUAUUGUAAAUAAUUUAGAUGAUUAAAAUGGAUUAUUU
rnacentral:lncRNA from 1 species